GAAACCGUCAACAAAACCCUUUCCCAGGCCCCCGCUUGGUAUUUCUGUUACUUCGGUAUCUUUCCAACUCUCCUCUCCUCUCCAUUUCUAAAUAUGCAGGCCAGUGAUAGGUUUAACAUCAAUUCCCAGCUUGAGCAUCUCCAAGCUAAGUAUGUUGGGACUGGUCACGCCGAUUUAAAUAGAUUUGAGUGGGCGGUGAACAUCCAGCGUGAUAGCUAUGCAUCAUAUAUUGGCCAUUACCCGAUACUGGCAUACUUUGCUAUUGCAGAAAAUGAGUCUAUUGGAAGAGAACGCUACAACUUUAUGCAGGUUCCCCUCCCUCUCUCUUUCUCUUUGUGUUUUUUGAAUCUCUUUAUUUUAUUUUAUUUUACUUAAGUUGCUGUUUGAGGAGAUGGAAACUGGAAGAUAAGAAGAUCGAUUAAAAUCAGGUGUGCUUUUUGUGGAUUUUAUGGAAGCUAAAGUUAGGAAAAUCUUCAGCUGAUUUAAGUGGUUUAUGUUACUGUGCUGAACAUCUAUUGUUGUACAAAUAAGAGGGGAAAUUGUUUACGCAAGUCAAAGGUUCUACAAGGUGAGAAGAGAUGAAAUUAUUGAUUUUGAAAUAUGCGAGAAUAUCUGAUGACUAAGUUAUGGGAUUUAAAAGAUAUGGCCUUGUUGAAUCUCAACUCAGUUGAAGAAAGAAACCUUAGACCGACUACUUGUAGUCAACUAGAUUAUUUUGGGUGUGUUCUUGCUGUUGAACAUCUUGGGUAGGUUCGCUAUUAACGGUUUCCUUGCAAGUAAAAUUACUCAAUACAUUCUGGACAGUGCCUGUGAUGGUGGCCCUUGCAUACUUAUUGGACUAAUUUUGCAUGGGAGAUCCAUAUGAAUAGCAAUCACCCUUUUAUGGAGAUGUUGUAGAUUUGAAAUUAGAUUUCUUAUGAUAAUACUCACAGAUUAGCUUUUAUAUAUAGUGAUUAUUGGUAAGGUAAAAGCUUUGAGAAUUUAAGGCCUCACAAAACAUUGUAUUGUGGUGGAAACUUGUAUGUUUGGCAAUGUUGAUAUGCAUAGUGUAGACUGUAGAUGCAAUUAAGCAAAUAGAGUUAAUUGUAUAGAGUCUCCAUUUGCCUCUGCAUUCUCUUCAUAAGUAUAAGACGGACAAGCUUUUUGGUUGGUAGAGUGGUUUCUGGAUGUUUAACUAAAACUAGGAUCCUUCUAUUCUCUCACUAAUUCUUUUUAGAGAGAAUGUAUUAGCUUUGCAAAUUUCUUGUGCUAGCUUAUUAUUUGUCAUAAUGACUGUCACCUAAUGCUUCUUUUUAAUUUGCGCAGAAAAUGCUUUUGCCUUGUGGUCUACCCCCUGAAAGAGAAGAUGAUUGAGAAUUCAGGCGAUCAAGUUAGAACUGAUUAAUUCUAUGGUCUUGGCUGUGAAGCUAUUCGUUUGUGACAUUGUUGUUUGUGUAUGCUUGAAGGAAUGGUAACUGUUAUGGCAGCGAUGAGUACUGAAAUUAUGGUCUCAUUAUAUGUUUGUGUACUUGGGAAAAUAUAAUAUUAUUUAUGGUUUCACAUUUCUCUUUUAAUAGCAAAAAAAUGUAUCUUUGAAGAAUGAUGCGUUCUUUUCAAGUAGAAAGCUGGAAGCCUCUUAAGCGAAAGAGCUGCCGUAUGAGUUACCCUGUCCUAUCCUAUGUUCGAUUGUAUCCAUUUUAGUUAAUUUCAUGAUUAUCAGUUGUUCU
rnacentral:misc_RNA from 1 species